rnacentral:rRNA from 1 species
UAAUACGUAGGGGGCGAGCGUUACCCGGAAUCACUGGGCGUAAAGAGCGCGUAGGCGGUUGAGUAAGUCUCUUGUGAAAGCUCCCGGCUUAACUGGGAGAGGUCAAGGGAAACUACUCGACUAGAGGGCAGUAGAGGAAGGCGGAAUUCCCGGUGUAGCGGUGAAAUGCGUAGAUAUCGGGGGGAACACCAGUGGCGAAGGCGGCCUUCUGGGCUGUGCCUGACGCUGAGGCGCGAGAGCGUGGGGAGCAAACUGGAUUAGAUACCCAGGUAGUCCACGCCCUAAACGAUGGAUGCUAGGUAUGGGGGGUAUCGACCCCUCCCGUGCCGCAGCUAACGCGAUAAGCAUCCCGCCUGGGGACUACGGCCGCAAGGCUA